GGGCCGCGGGCGCCGGGAGCCCACGCUCCGCUGGCGUCCGCACACUCGAGCCCCACGCCGUGGCCGCUCCGCGGGCACGCGCGCUGAGACGAGGCGGGGCGGCCGGGGCCGGGCCUGGUCACGCUCGCGCCUGGCGGGCCGGCCGGCCGGCGCCACCCCCAGGGUCAGCGUCGCGGCGCAGGCCCACGCCCCGUCUGGUGGCUUUUAGAUUUUGAGCGUCAGCACAGAGCCGGAGGCGGGGCCCCGAGUCACAACCAGGACGACGGGAGCGGGAUCACAUGGCGCUUAACCGACGGAGCCACCCGGUGCCCCCCCACGUGUGGUUCGAAACGCAAUAGAGACAUUUUCAAAUUCUUGUGACAGGUUUGGCCAAGCCCUCCCUUUGUGAAGGUCAUGCCCAGGCCGGGCCGUGGCCGGUAGCGCGCCUACUCACCCCCCUUCUUGGAAAGUCUGCGAGCUGGUCCCAGACGUACCAGCCCAGUGGGUGACGGAGCGGGAACCCACCUGCAGCUCUGAGAUGAGCCCCUCCUGCCUUUUCUGCUUCUCUGGCCAACAGGACGGCGUGUGGCAUCAAGCCCUUUCCACGGAUGAGGGAGGCUGCCGAGCUGGGUGGUAAGCAGCAAGGGGAGGCAGCAAAUGGCUGGUCUGUCGAGAUCCAGUGGGGUGCUGGAGCUUGUCUUCUAGAAACCUGGACCUUACCCCUGGGUGAG